GCGUGAGUGAAGAAGGCCUUAGGGUUGUAAAGCUCUUUCGGCGGGGACGAUGAUGACGGUACCCGCAGAAGAAGCCCCGGCUAACUCCGUGCCAGCAGCCGCGGUAAUACGGAGGGGGCUAGCGUUGUUCGGAAUUACUGGGCGUAAAGCGCGCGCAGGUGGCUUAGCAAGUCGGGGGUGAAAGGCCUGGGCUCAACCUGGGAACUGCCUUCGAUACUGCUGAGCUAGAGUCCGGAAGAGGGUAGUGGAAUUCCCAGUGUAGAGGUGAAAUUCGU
rnacentral:rRNA from 1 species